rnacentral:rRNA from 1 species
ACAUCUAGAGAACUUAGCAGAGAUGCUUUGGUGCCUUCGGGAACUCUGAGACAGGUGCUGCAUGGCUGUCGUCAGCUCGUGUUGUGAAAUGUUGGGUUAAGUCCCGNAACGAGCGCAACCCUUAUCCUUUGUUGCCAGCGGUUCGGCCGGGAACUCAAAGGAGACUGCCGGUGAUAAACCGGAGGAAGGUGGGGAUGACGUCAAGUCAUCAUGGCCCUUACGGCCAGGGCUACACACGUGCUACAAUGGCGCAUACAAAGAGAAGCGACCUCGCGAGAGCAAGCGGACCUCAUAAAGUGCGUCGUAGUCCGGAUUGGAGUCUGCAACUCGACUCCAUGAAGUCGGAAUCGCUAGUAAUCGUAGAUCAGAAUGCUACGGUCGAAUACGUUCCCGGGCCUUGUACACACCGCCCGUCACACCAUGGGAGUGGGUUGCAAAAGAAGUAGGUAGCUUAACCUUCGGGAGGGCGCUUACCACUUUGUGAUUCAUGACUGGGGUGAAGUCGUAACAAGGUAAGCGUAGCGAG